AUAGAGAUGUGUUGGAGAUGCC
rnacentral:siRNA from 1 species